rnacentral:rRNA from 1 species
GUUGACCUCGGAUCAGGUAGGGAUACCCGCUGAACUUAAGCAUAUCAAUAAGCGGAGGAAAAGAAACCAACAGGGAUUGCCCUAGUAACGGCGAGUGAAGCGGCAACAGCUCAAAUUUGAAAUCUGGCUCUCGGGCCCGAGUUGUAAUUUGUAGAGGAUGUUUUUGGCGCGGUGCCUUCCGAGUUCCCUGGAACGGGACGCCUUAGAGGGUGAGAGCCCCGUACGGUUGGACACUAAGCCUCUGUAAAACUCCUUCGACGAGUCGAGUAGUUUGGGAAUGCUGCUCUAAAUGGGAGGUAAAUUUCUUCUAAAGCUAAAUACCGGCCAGAGACCGAUAGCGCACAAGUAGAGUGAUCGAAAGAUGAAAAGCACUUUGAAAAGAGGGUUAAAUAGCACGUGAAAUUGUUGAAAGGGAAGCGUUUGCGACCAGACCUUUUCCUAGCGGAUCAUCCGGUGUUCUCACCGGUGCACUUCGCUUGGUUUAGGCCAGCAUCGGUUUCUGUAGGGGGAUAAAAGCUCUGGGAAUGUGGCUCCUUCGGGAGUGUUAUAGCCCUCUGCAUAAUACCCUUACGGGGACCGAGGACCGCGCUUUUGCAAGGAUGCUGGCAUAAUGGUCGUCAACGACCCGUCUUGAAACACGGACCAAGGAGUCGAACAUUUGUGCGAGUGUUUGGGUGUUAAACCCUCACGCGUAAUGAAAGUAAACGGAGGUGAGAGCCCUUACGGGUGCAUCAUCGACCGAUCCUGAUGUCUUCGGAUGGAUUUGAGUAAGAGCAUAACUGUUCGGACCCGAAAGAUGGUGAACUAUGCGUGGAUAGGGUGAAGCCAGAGGAAACUCUGGUGGAGGCUCGCAGCGGUUCUGACGUGCAAAUCGAUCGUCAAAUCUGCGCAUGGGGGCGAAAGACUUAUCGAACCAUCUAGUAGCUGGUUACCGCCGAAGUUU